UCUCUCUCUCUCUCUCUCUCUCGCUAACCCCACCCAACCCGUCGUGCCCUCCUCUCUCUCUCUCGAACUGAACCCUAGCGCUCCACCCCUCACUGCCUGCCGCCACCUCCGGCGACCUCAGGCGGGAAUCGACGACCGGCGAGAUCCGUGCGCGCGCAGCGAGAUCCAUCUCUCUCUCACACGAGAGGGAAAAUCCCCACGACUCCUCCUCCUCCUCCUCUCUGGAUCGAUCCCCUCCAACCCACCUCUUCCCCCUCUCUGGAUCGAUCCCCUCCAACCCAGCCGCCGUCGCCGCAGACCUCCCCCAACCCCGGCCUCCUCCACAGCCGGCGACCCCUUCUCUUCCUCCCCCAACCCAGCCACCUCCAGCAGCAGAUCCAUGCAGGACAGAUCUGAGCUCCACUACCUCCGUUGCUCCCUUUCCCCCGACCAGAUCUUCCUCUUGCGUUCCGGCACCUCGCCGGCGUGGCUCCGGCGUUGCUCCGGCGACUCAGAUCCAACACGCCGUCGUUGCUCGAGCACCGGGACGCUAUCGAUGGGAAGUCUUCCUCCUCACCUCAUCUUGUCUCCCUCACAUGAGCGAUGCAGCUUCACCGCUACCCUGACGCCAUCAAGGAGCAGCUGCACGCCUGCAAGGCUGCAACAUCACCAACUCGACUUGGAUGCAGGGAGAGGAGACGCCCAACCAUGGGCAAGCUCUACGUCGGCAUCUGCCUUUGUAGCUUGGCCUAGGGUUAGCUGAAUGCUCAAGACAUGGGUAGUUCUGGGAGAUGGUGAUUAGGGACUGUUUUACAACACAUCAUCCUCUGUUUUUACACGUAGUUGUAGAAGAAAAUACUUUUACUUAUUGCAAGUCACGACUGUCAUGCGUAUGUUAUGAAUUCAGAAACUAUAACAUGUUUUUUUUGCCAUGGUGAAGGAGUAAACUGAACAAUUAAGUUGCUAGUUCAGUAUGUGAGUUGCAUCAUACUGUACAUGAAUGCUAGCUGAAUAUCAGUUCUGUAUGUUACUUGGUGCAUAAAUUUUACUUAUUUGCAAGUCGUAGCUGCCGUGCACCCGUUAUGAAUUCAGAAACUAUAACAUCAAUUCGUCAGCAGCUUUUUCUCAGUGGAGUUGCUAAUUUGGCGCUGGAAAGCUUGCUUUGCACAUAUCCCAUUGUACAUAAUUAAUACUGGAUUAGUUACUUGCUUUUGUACACAUGCCAGCGGGAUGUUCUCUAGUUUCUCUAAAUCCAGUGAUUCAAAACUUCAAUGUAGUCAUUUUACAAUGCACCAUGGUUUCUUGUUUCUGUUGUGAAAGUAAUGUCAAUGGUGUUGCACAGUUUUGAAUAAAAAUGCAAAUGGCUUGUGAAUGUCAAUGAACUUACAAUGUCAGUCUCUUAGAGUUGUUUUUGCAACCUAAUAUUGUUGUAAAAUCCUUUCCUUGAGCUGCGGUUGAUGUGGUGGUCUGCUGUUGUGGAUGAUGCAUGCAGGGGCUGCUGGAGAACACGGAGAAGGACAGGGUCCGGAGGCUGAUAGGCUCAAGCCUCCCGUGGAGCCAUGAUUUUCCCAGUUGAUGGAUCUUUCCUGUGCACGCUGGCAUCCAGGUCGGCAACGCGUGCUGGGAACUUUACUGCCUCGAGCACGGCAUCCAGCCUGAUGGCCAGACGAACGGUGACAAGACCAUCCGGUGAUUCGCUGCUUGCAAACAACAGCUAGUAAAUCGGUCACCGUGGGGGCGGGGACAUGAGAUUCAGAGAAGAGAUGCUGCUGCCUGCCUAUACUAGUUCAUAUCAGGCUCGUCCCUGGACCAGAUGUUCAAGUACAGCCCCAUCCACCACAUCGACCUGGAGUCAGAUGCUGGGCUUUCAUGUUUCUUCGUGAGCAUCAGUACAAAGAAGUCGGAGGAAGAAUAGUUCUAGCUCAUUUGAGCUAGUUCUAAGAGUAAUGGAGUCCUUUAUGCUGCUCCUAUUUGUAUGUGUGUUAUAUGAUGUAGCAGAAUCUGGCUCGUGUGAUUGUACACUUGUGGAGCUUGUAAUUAUCUGAUUGUAAACUUGAUGCUGAUCACAUUUGUAUGUGUGUUAUAUGAUGUAGCACUUCGAUGGUUGAUAACAUUUGAAGUAUUUCAUGUA